rnacentral:rRNA from 1 species
UACCUCGCUACAUGGAUAACCGUGGUAAUUCUAGAGCUAAUACAUGCCAAAAGCCCCGACUCCGGGAGGGGCGUAUUUAUUAGAUACAAAACCAACGCCCCUCGGGGCUCGAUGGUGAUUCAUGAUAACUGCACGAAUCGCAUGGCCUUGCGCCGGCGAUGGUUCAUUCAAAUUUCUGCCCUAUCAACUGUCGAUGAUAGGAUAGUGGCCUACCAUGGUCGCAACGGGUAACGGGGAAUUAGGGUUCUAUUCCGGAGAGGGAGCCUGAGAAACGGCUACCACAUCCAAGGAAGGCAGCAGGCGCGCAAAUUACCCAAUCCCGACGCGGGGAGGUAGUGACAAUAAAUACUGAUGCAGGGCUCUUUUGGGUCUUGCAAUCGGAAUGGGUACAAUUUAAAUCCCUUAACGAGGAACAAUUGGAGGGCAAGUCUGGUGCCAGCAGCCGCGGUAAUUCCAGCUCCAAUAGCGUAUAUUAAAGUUGUUGCAGUUAAAAAGCUCGUAGUUGAACCUUGGGCCUGGCUGGCCGGUCCGCCUCACCGCGUGCACUGGUCCGGCCGGGCCUUUCCUCCCGGGGAGCCGCAUGCCCUUCGCUGGGCGUGCCGGGGAUCCGGGACUUUUACUUUGAAAAAAUUAGAGUGUUCAAAGCAGGCCUAUGCUCGGAUACAUUAGCAUGGAAUAAUGGAAUAGGACGCGCGGUCCUAUUUUGUUGGUUUCUAGGACCGCCGUAAUGAUUAAUGGGGAUGGUCGGGGGCAUCCGUAUUCAGCUGUCAGAGGUGAAAUUCUUGGAUUUGCUGAAGACGAACUACUGCGAAAGCAUUUGCCAAGGAUGUUUUCAUUAAUCAGGGAACGAAAGUUAGGGGAUCGAAGACGAUCAGAGGGGUGUCCGGUCGUCCACAGCACAAGCUAGUCCUUCGGGGCAACACCGUCUAGUUGAGGAGUCCCCGUUUCCGGGUCAUCUACAGCCAAGUUCAAGUCUCAACGAUCCCGUUGGACGAGAAUGCAGUCUACAGACUGUUUGAUGGUGGGCCAGCUCUAUCACCGAUAGGUUCUGGUUUAAGAUAUAGUCGGUCCGAUAUGCAACCAUAUCGUGAGCACACGCAGAUACCGUCGUAGUCUUAACCAUAAACUAUGCCGACUAGGGAUCGGACGGUGUUUUUUAUAUGACCCGUUCGGCACCUUACGAGAAAUCAAAGUUUUUGGGCUCUGGGGGGAGUAUGGUCGCAAGGCUGAAACUUAAAGAAAUUGACGGAAGGGCACCACAAGGCGUGGAGCCUGCGGCUUAAUUUGACUCAACACGGGGAAACUCACCAGGUUAACCUUUGACCGUUACGUGUCUGGGCUUGGUCCUGAUAGUACUGACUUGAUCAGUGCAACACCAGCUGCUACAGGGAACGCUUCCGGGCCGAUCCUGUAGCGAGUCUACCGGUUGGUAGACCGUUGCAACGCACAGCAAGCGGUGGGCUGCUCCGAGGUUAUUCUUCGGCGGCUAUGGUAUGUGCUAACUCCAUGGUUCUCGCCAUGUCUUUCUGCUACAACGGCAGAGGGGAUCUUCUGUCAUCAGAAGCUGAUUCUGGAGCCAGACAUAAGAAGGAUUGACAGAUUGAGAGCUCUUUCUUGAUUUUAUGGGUGGUGGUAAACGUCCUUGUGCCACCUACAGCGAUACGGGUAACCCACCGUUGAAAUAUAGCUAGUCCACCUCGGUGGGCGACAUUCUUCUGUUGCUGAAAACUGUUCCUUCGGGUCAUGAUCAGCAGCUAUGCGUUCGGUUGAACGGGUAGUUCACAGACUAGGUAAGAAUGGACUGAUGGUUGUUUAGUUAGAGAUAUAGUCGAACCCAAUAUGUAGAUGUAUUCGGUAUGAGUGGCAUGGCCGUUCUUAGUUGGUGGAGUGAUUUGUCUGCUUAAUUU